rnacentral:rRNA from 1 species
UACAGAGGUGGCAAGCGUUGUUCGGAAUUACUGGGCGUAAAGAGCGUGUAGGCGGCCAGGUAGGUCGGUUGUGAAAACUGGAGGCUCAACCUUCAGAGGUCGACCGAAACCAUCUGGCUAGAGUCCGGGAGAGGAGAGUGGAAUUCCUGGUGUAGCGGUGAAAUGCGCAGAUAUCGUAAGGAAGACCAGUGGCGAAGGCGGGUCUCUGGACAGUUCCUGACGCUGAGGCACGAAGGCCAGGGGAGCAAACGGG